rnacentral:misc_RNA from 1 species
GUGCAAGAGCUGGAGUGUCACAGUUAUGAGCCAUUAUUAUCUUCUUUAUGUUGUGUAUUUGUCCAAUAUUAUGUUUGCUCUUUAUUUUUUUUCAUUUUUCAACUAUAAUUUUCUGAAAUGCAAUUUUGCUUACUUGCGAAGAAAAUAUUUUUUUUUUGCUUUCCAAAAAAAAUACAGGUGUUGAAUCGUUUGACAUAUGCA